rnacentral:rRNA from 1 species
AGAGUUUGAUCCUGGCUCAGAUUGAACGCUGGCGGCAGGCCUAACACAUGCAAGUCGAACGGUAACAGGAAGCAGCUUGCUGCUUCGCUGACGAGUGGCGGACGGGUGAGUAAUGUCUGGGAAACUGCCUGAUGGAGGGGGAUAACUACUGGAAACGGUAGCUAAUACCGCAUAACGUCGCAAGACCAAAGAGGGGGACCUUCGGGCCUCUUGCCAUCGGAUGUGCCCAGAUGGGAUUAGCUUGUUGGUGGGGUAACGGCUCACCAAGGCGACGAUCCCUAGCUGGUCUGAGAGGAUGACCAGCCACACUGGAACUGAGACACGGUCCAGACUCCUACGGGAGGCAGCAGUGGGGAAUAUUGCACAAUGGGCGCAAGCCUGAUGCAGCCAUGCCGCGUGUAUGAAGAAGGCCUUCGGGUUGUAAAGUACUUUCAGCGGGGAGGAAGGGAGUAAAGUUAAUACCUUUGCUCAUUGACGUUACCCGCAGAAGAAGCACCGGCUAACUCCGUGCCAGCAGCCGCGGUAAUACGGAGAGUGCAAGCGUUAAUCGGAAUUACUGGGCGUAAAGCGCACGCAGGCGGUUUGUUAAGUCAGAUGUGAAAUCCCCGGGCUCAACCUGGGAACUGCAUCUGAUACUGGCAAGCUUGAGUCUCGUAGAGGGGGGUAGAAUUCCAGGUGUAGCGGUGAAAUGCGUAGAGAUCUGGAGGAAUACCGGUGGCGAAGGCGGCCCCCUGGACGAAGACUGACGCUCAGGUGCGAAAGCGUGGGGAGCAAACAGGAUUAGAUACCCUGGUAGUCCACGCCGUAAACGAUGUCGACUUGGAGGUUGUGCCCUUGAGGCGUGGCUUCCGGAGCUAACGCGUUAAGUCGACCGCCUGGGGAGUACGGCCGCAAGGUUAAAACUCAAAUGAAUUGACGGGGGCCCGCACAAGCGGUGGAGCAUGUGGUUUAAUUCGAUGCAACGCGAAGAACCUUACCUGGUCUUGACAUCCACGGAAGUUUUCAGAGAUGAGAAUGUGCCUUCGGGAACCGUGAGACAGGUGCUGCAUGGCUGUCGUCAGCUCGUGUUGUGAAAUGUUGGGUUAAGUCCCGCAACGAGCGCAACCCUUAUCCUUUGUUGCCAGCGGUCCGGCCGGGAACUCAAAGGAGACUGCCAGUGAUAAACUGGAGGAAGGUGGGGAUGACGUCAAGUCAUCAUGGCCCUUACGACCAGGGCUACACACGUGCUACAAUGGCGCAUACAAAGAGAAGCGACCUCGCGAGAGCAAGCGGACCUCAUAAAGUGCGUCGUAGUCCGGAUUGGAGUCUGCAACUCGACUCCAUGAAGUCGGAAUCGCUAGUAAUCGUGGAUCAGAAUGCCACGGUGAAUACGUUCCCGGGCCUUGCACACACCGCCCGUCA